UGAAAGGUGCCUUUCGCUUUUGCGCCACCCUUCUGAACUCUAGUAUGACUUGUUUGUAUCCUUUAACGGCUAAUUACCCAUUCAAAGCGUAAAUGGCUGUUGGUAAUUGUAAUUCGCGAAAUGGAGCAAGGUGUGAGCUCAUUACGUCGCAUUUAAUAAUAUCUCCAGCAGGUGAAGCUGUUUCUUAUCUAUAGAUUAGCAUUCCCGCUCAUUUUUUUGCUUAUGAAGUGAGGCUCCAGUUAACGCCUGUAAACAGCCAAUGAGCUCCAAUAGCGCUUCCGACAUCGCCUCUUCGAAGACGUAUUCCGUAAAAGCCUCUUUCAGCAGGACGGUCGAAGAAGCUGUGCGGGCGCGGACGCUAGCGGCCGAGUCAGUUAGCGUCUCCAGUAUCCGCCACUGGAUGGCGCUGCAUGUCCGGGAGCAGUGAUAGAACAGCGCAUGCACCGAUGAAAAAAUGAAGUGAAAAAUCAAGUAUGGCGAAAAAAAAACCAGUAAAGACGAAAUGAGCAGAAAAAGAAAAUAAAGAAAGAAUCGCUGGGCAAACUGAAUCAAAUGGAGGCAGAGAAACCUGUUUAGCGACGCCGACGGGUUGGCGACCCGCCUACGUUUUUCUGGAUUGGAGGCUUCCCGGAGACCGUGAUCGUCUUUGUGAAUCUAUCGGCGUGCAUCGAUGUGAUAUGUUUUGCCCGACGCCGAUUCUACGACUUGGAGGUUUUUUUAAACCUCUUCCUCAAAAGGACGUUCUCUGGUCGAAGUGGUGGAGUGAAAGCUCUGGCAAUCAAGAUUGCCGACCUGACGAAGAUCUCGAAAGAGGAAUCUGUAAAAAUACAUGUUGUGCUAAUAAAUGCUUCUAG